UAGGGAAUUUUCCGCAAUGGGCGCAAGCCUGACGGAGCAACGCCGCGUGAGGGAUGAAGGUUUUCGGAUCGUAAACCUCUGUCUUCAGGGACGAUAAUGACGGUACCUGAGGAGGAAGCCACGGCUAACUACGUGCCAGCAGCCGCGGUAAUACGUAGGUGGCAAGCGUUGUCCGGAAUUACUGGGCGUAAAGGGCGUGUAGGCGGCCUUUUAAGUCAGAUGUGAAAUCUCAGGGCUUAACCCUGAAACUGCAUUUGAAACUGGAGGGCUUGAGGAUCGGAGAGGGCAGUGGAAUUCCCAGUGUAGCGGUGAAAUGCGUAGAUAUUGGGAGGAACACCAGUGGCGAAGGCGACUGCCUGGACGACACCUGACGCUGAGGCGCGAAAGCUAGGGGAGCAAACGGG
rnacentral:rRNA from 2 species